rnacentral:rRNA from 1 species
AACGAACGCUGGCGGCAGGCUUAACACAUGCAAGUCGAGCGCCCCGCAAGGGGAGCGGCAGACGGGUGAGUAACGCGUGGGAAUCUACCCAUCUCUACGGAAUAACGCAUGGGAACGUGUGCUAAUACCGUAUACGUCCUUCGGGAGAAAGCUUUAUCGGAGAUGGAUGAGCCCGCGUUGGAUUAGCUAGUUGGCGGGGUAAAGGCCUACCAAGGCGACGAUCCAUAGCUGGUCUGAGAGGAUGAUCAGCCACACUGGGACUGAGACACGGCCCAGACUCCUACGGGAGGCAGCAGUGGGGAAUAUUGGACAAUGGGCGCAAGCUUGAUCCAGCCAUGCCGCGUGAGUGAUGAAGGCCCUAGGGUUGUAAAGCUCUUUCACCGGUGAAGAUAAUGACGGUAACCGGAGAAGAAGCCCCGGCUAACUUCGUGCCAGCCGCCGCCGUAAAAC